rnacentral:misc_RNA from 1 species
GAUGAAGAACGUAGUGAAAUGCGAUAAGUAAUGUGAAUUGCAGAAUUCAGUGAAUCAUCGAAUCUUUGAACGCACAUUGCGCCCCUUGGUAUUCCGAGGGGCAUGCCUGUUCGAGCGUCAUAUUAACCACUCCCGCUUGCGGGGUCUUGGGCUUCGCCUCCGGGCGGGCCUUAAAAUCAGUGGCGGUGCCGUCGGGCUCUACGCGUAGUAAAUUUUCUCGCGAUAGGGUCCCGGUGGAUGCUUGCCAACAACCCCCAACUUCUGAAGGUUGACCUCGGAUCAGGUAGGGAUACCCGCUGAACUUAAGCAUAUCAAUAAGCGGAGGA